CAGGCGGCCGCGGCGCGACCCCAGCCGGUGCCGGGACAGCCCCGCAGCCUGGGCCGCCGCUCCCCCUCCCCGGAGCCCGGAAUGGAUCCGUCCCGGAAAUAAAUAAAUAAACCCGCGGCUGCUCCGGGUGUGUGCUGCGCGCACCUGAGGCCGACCUGUGAUUCACCGCGGGAGGGAUGGCAGUGACAACGCUCCGGGGAAGUCCACAGUGACUCCUCCGCCAGGACGCCGCUGGUUGUAUAGGAAAAGCACGCGGACGGGAAGCCACACUCACCGAAAACCUCAGUAAACUAAAUUUAUGAGUUUACAUCUGUUCCAUCAAUGACCACGGUGCACACCUGUUUGGCUUCAUGGCCGGCAACUACAGAUCUAGGUAUCCAAGAUCAAGAGGGACAAUUACAUAUUAUAAGCCGCACAGAGAAGAGUAAUCAAGGUGGACAUGAACUUGUGCUAUAUAAGUUAUGGGUUGAAGAACUCUGUGGAAAGUAGAGAAGAAAAAAUUUAGGGAACAAGCAGUAGUUGAAUACAGCUAUGUGAAACUAUGAGAACUAUGUGAAAGAGUGUUUGGAUCCAAAGAUGAAAGAGCUGACACAAGAGUGGAUUUUCUGAGAGCUGUUUGAGCAGAGAAAACUUGAAGGAGAUACAGUGAGUAGAACACAACCUGUAGGUGGUUUGAAGACCUGAGGACUCCAAUACCUCCCAACUCUCAUAUUCUCUAUAGUUUUUCUAGAAAAGCCCAUGUAUUGGGGCAUAACCUAUAAAGAUGAUAGCAACUAAAAUGGAUAAAUCAAUGACAUAAAAUGUUUAUUUCUUCUCUUGAUUAAAUGACAGAUACCCCAAUCUGCAGGCAUCAUAUGUUAUGACUGCCUCCACUCUCUGCAUUUUGAGAAAGCCUCUACAGAAAUUCUCAAAGGAAUGGCUUUACUGGGGAGUGAAGUUCUUUCAGCUUUAUUGUGGAGUGAAGCCUGCUGCACAUAAUGGAGAACACUGGCCCAGUCACUCAAAUCACAAAGGCUAUUUCGUAUGUGCUUCAAAGAUAUAAGACAGGGGUUUUGAUCAAAGCCACAGACCUGCAUUCCUGCUGUGCCUCCAUUCCUGAAUACCACAGACUCUGCCCAGUUUGCUUGAAUGAAUUCUGAGCUGCCACAUGCCUCAGUGAGACAGUGAAAACUUCAACUCAUCAAUGACUGGGUCAAACCACUCUGAAGACAAGCAGCUCUCCCACGUGCUCAACACUAGGACUAUUUCUGAAGCCUUGAUGAGAAUAACUGACUUCCUGAAGGGAAAGUAAGGAGCCUAAACCUGAUUAUGAGCAAGGAGGUAUAAGGAGGGGCAGGUGCGGUUUGAAAAAUGCUUCUGUGAAUCCUAGAGAAGAGGCAGGAUCCAAGGCCAUUUAACAACGUGAAGGUCCUAGAAACUUACCUUUGGAAGCCCCAUCUGACAUACUACCAAACAAAUUAAAACACACCAACAUCCCACAUUACCUUUUUUUCCUCUAAAAUAUAAGUAUUUUAUAUUUUCACUUCAAAUCUCAGUAAUCCUCACACACACUGGGGAAUUCUCAUGAAGUACAAAGAUCUAAAAUAGAAAUUAUUUUCAAAUACGUUUUUGUGAGCAUUAAAUUUAACAAUUAAUGAAGUUGGUAUAUUAUGUUUACAAAUAUGUCUUAUUUCCCUGAAUAAAGCUGUAAGCCACAAUCUGAUUCUAGAAACGUUAAAAUGUGAACCAUGUAUGUGUUCCUGGGUAAAUUAUGGUAUAAAUUUUGAUUCUACAGUUUUCCUGUUGUAGUUUUCAACCAAAAUAUCUCUCAUCUUUGUAGACUCAAACUUGUCAAAAUUCUGUGAAUGUCUCUUCGUGCUUGAGAAACUGGGCAUAAGUGGAAAGGCAGUAUUGUACAGUGCUUGAGAACAUAAAUCCUGGAGCCACUGCCCAUGUUUUUAACCACAAUAUCAGUAGUUUCUAGUUCUGUGAUCUUGGAUAAGUUACUUAACCUCUAAGUACCUUAGUUUCCUAUUCUGUAAAAUGGGGAUAAUAGUACUUACCUCAUAGGACUGUUGCUAGGAUAGUUAGUAUUUUUAAAGUAUUUAAAACAGUGUCUAAUAUUCCAGAAAUGUUAGUCAUGUUACUGUUAUUUUAUACUAACAGAUAAAAUAGUUCUGGAAGAAUCACUCACUUCCCCCAACAAAGCUGCUUGCCCAUUGGAAGCUGUCUUGAAGGAACUGGUUGAACCCCAAAUUUCAGGCAGAUACACCCAUAUAUCAAGCCCUGGUCCAAUAUCCUUAAUUCUACCUUUUCCUUCCCAAAGUUUUUUCUCUAAAAGAGGAAGAAGGGUAAUCCCAAUGCUAAGGAUAACCCCCUUCAGAUUAAAGGUCAGUGACAGAAUCAGAGAGAUGAAGCACGUUUUCUUUCCCCAGAAUAAAUACUAGAGUCUCUUCCCUCUAGUGGCUGAAGUAUACAAUUACAAUGCCCCCAGCCAACUGUCAUUCUUAAAAUCUGUUGUAAUGGAAAUAAUUCAGAGGAUGGUAAACUUAAGUGAAAAGUCAGCUUUAGGCCAGUGGAGAGCUAGGCACAAAACAACAAAACAUUGAGUUUUUUUUAAAAUAAAGCAGUAUUAAACAUUUGCACAGCGUCAUAAUUAUUAACCUCAGCAUCACAAAAAGAGCAACUUUAAUUAAACGCAACCACGUUGUAACUAUU
rnacentral:lncRNA from 10 species